rnacentral:rRNA from 1 species
CCAAUAGCGUAUAUUAAAGUUGUUGCAGUUAAAAAGCUCGUAGUUGAAUUUCGGGAUCAGCGCGUCGGUCGUGCCUCCGGUAUGCACUGGCGCCGCUGGUUUCUCCCUUCUGAGGAACCGUGAUGCCAUUAAUUUGGUGUCGCGGGAAAUCAGGACUGUUACUUUGAAAAAAUUAGAGUGUUUAAAGCGGGCACGCGCUUGAAUACAUUAGCAUGGAAUAACGAAAUAGGACGUUCGAUCUUAUUUUGUUGGUUUCUAGGAUUGACGUAAUGAUUAAUAGGGAUAGUUGGGGGCAUUAGUAUUCAAUUGUCAGAGGUGAAAUUCUUGGAUUUAUUGAAGACUAACUACUGCGAAAGCAUUUGCCAAGGAUGUUUUCAUUAAUCAAGAACGAAAGUUAGGGGAUCGAAGACGAUCAGAUACCGUCGUAGUCUUAACCAUAAACUAUGCCGACUAGGGAUCGGAUGAUGUUAAUUUUAUAAUGACUCAUUCGGCGCCUUACGG